AAUAAGAAGUAAUUAAUUACAUUUAGUUUCGACCUAAAAUUAGAGCUUCUCCUUAUUUUA
rnacentral:tRNA from 1 species